CCCGGGACCCCCCCACCCGGAUGCUUUAAACAUUCAGAACCACUGUGAUAAAUAUCCACACAUUGUCCCUAUUUUAGGAAAAAAUGCGUGAGGUAAAAAGGAUCCACAGGAAUCUGGAGGAUGGGCACAAAUACAGAGGAAAUGAGAGGUUCACGUCUGAGCACAACUCCGG